UAUUACUACUCUGUCCCCUUGGUUGCAUGAAAAACAACAGUAUGUCUUAUAAUCAGUGGCGAUUUGAAUUCAAUGAAUGCCUUCCAAUGAUAAACAUGAAGAAAUGGUGAAUGCAAUAUUUACUUCAUUGUGCAGAUGAAUUUGCAAUAAAGAAAGAGAAAUGCCUAAGUGCAAGAAACCAUGAAGAAACUUGAAAGGGAUUAGCAGGUUGAUGCUGGAAAAAGGUUUCUGGUAUACUGCUAACCUCUCACCAAGCCUUACUGAAUCCUACUACAUGCUAAGGAAAUGCUGGGAAAAGUGACGAGUCAACUAAAUUUGCAAAGUCCUUUGUACUGCAACAAAGAUAAAGCAUUGAUCUAUACAUAGUGUCCAUUGUGCCAGUCACCUUUGGCAUCUCAUCCAGCAAAGAAUGGAAAGAACCAGGAAAGAAGAGAAUACCAGCAAUGCUUCUGGUGUGCCAUUCUAGAGGAAAAUGUGAAAUCUGUGG
rnacentral:lncRNA from 1 species